rnacentral:rRNA from 1 species
GCCUACGGGAGGCAGCAGUGAGGAAUAUUGGUCAAUGGGCGGAAGCCUGAACCAGCCAAGUCGCGUGAGGGAAUAAGGCCCUACGGGUCGUAAACCUCUUUUGCCGGGGAGCAAGGGCGGGGACGUGUCCCGGCCCGGAGAGUACCCGGAGAAAAAGCAUCGGCUAACUCCGUGCCAGCAGCCGCGGUAAUACGGAGGAUGCGAGCGUUAUCCGGAUUUACUGGGUGUAAAGGGAGCGUAGACGGCGAUGCAAGUCUGAAGUGAAAGGCGGGGGCCCAACCCCCGGACUGCUUUGGAAACUGUAU